GGGGUCGUCCUGCCCCACAUGGGGGGGUUCUACGUCUUCGGGGGUGAGUGCGGUUAUGGGGUGGGCAUGGGGUCGCUAUGGGGUCCUUAUGGGGUGGGUAUGGGGUCCUUAUGGGGCUGGGUGGUUAUGGGGCGGUUAUGGGGUGGUUAUGGGGUGGUUAUAGGGCUGGGGGGCUAUGGGGUGGCUAUGGGGUCUCUAUGGGUUGCUGUGUGUUCCUAUGGGAUUUACGGGAUCUGUGGGUCACUCUAUGGCAUCUAUGGGGCACCGCGUGUUCCUAUGGGGUCUGUGGGUCUCUAUGGGGUCUAUGGGGUGCUGUGUGUUCCUAUGGGGUCUAUGGGUCUCUAUGGGGUCUGUGGGUCAGUCUAUGGGAUCUAUGGGGUGUGUGGGUCUGUAUGGGGUGCCAUGUGUUCCUAUGGGAUCUGUGGGUCUCUAUGGGGUGCUGUGUGUUCCUAUGGGAUUUAUGGGAUCUGUGGGUCACCCUAUGGGAUCUAUGGGGUCUGUGGGUCUCUAUGGGGCGCCAUGUGUUGCUAUGGGAUUUAUGGGAUCUGUGGGUCACCCUAUGGGAUCUACGGGAUCUGUGGGUCUCUAUGGGGUGCCAUGUGUUCCUAUGGGAUCUGUGGGUCUCUAUGGGGUGCUGUGUGUUCCUAUGGGAUUUAUGGGGUGUGUGGGUCACCCUAUGGGAUCUAUGGGGUGUGUGGGUCUCUAUGGGGUGUGUGGGUCUGUAUGGGGCACCGUGUGUUCCUAUGGGAUCUGUGGGUCUCUAUGGGGUCUCUAUGGGGUCUGUAUGGGGCGCUGCGUGUUCCUAUGGGAUUUAUGGGAUCUGUGGGUCGCUCUCUGGGAUCUAUGGGGUCUGUGGGUCUCUAUGGGGCGCCAUGUGUUUCUAUGGGGUGUGUGUGUCUGUAUGGGGUGUGUGGGUCAGUCUGUGGGAUCUAUGGGGUCUGUGGGUCUCUAUGGGGUCUCUGUGGGUUGCUGUGUGUUGCUAUGGGAUUUAUGGGAUCUGUGGGUCGCUCUCUGGGAUCUAUGGGGUCUGUGGGUCUCUAUGGGAUCUAUGGGGCUGUGUGUGUUCCUAUGGGGUCUGUGGGUCUCUAUGGGGCGCCAUGUGUUUCUAUGGGGUGUGUGUGUCUGUAUGGGGUGUGUGGGUCACCCUAUGGGAUCAGUGGGGUCUGUGGGUCCGUUUUUAGGGCAGGCCCUGGGCGCCCCAUUGGGGGAUCUGGUGAUGUUCAACUUCAGCACCAAUUCCUGGAGCCGCAUCCUGCAGCGCCCCGCGCCGGUCAGCGCCCGCCCUGACCUCUGACCUCUGACCCCAGCCCUGACCUCUGACCCCCAGCAAUGUCAUCUGACCCCUGCCCUGACCUCUGAACUCACAUCUGACCUCUGACCCCCAGCCCUGACCUCUGACCCUCAGCCCUGACCUCUGACCCCCAGCCCUGACCUCUGACCCUCAGCAAUGUCCUCUGACCCCCAGCCCUGACCUCUGACAACCAGCCCUGGCCUCUGACCCCAGCCCUGACCUCUGACCCUCAGCAAUGUCCUCUGACCCUCAGCCCUGACCUCUGACCCUCACCUCUGACCUCUGAAACCCAGCCCUGACCUCUGACCUCACGUCUAACCUCUGACCCCAGCCCGGACCUCUGACCCUCAGCAAUGUCCUAUGACCCUCAGCCCUGACCUCUGACCUCACCUCAGACCUCUGACCCCCANNNNNNNNNNNNNNNNNNNNNNNNNNNNNNNNNNNNNNNNNNNNNNNNCCUCAGCCCUGACUUCUGACCCCCAGCCCUGACCUCUGACCUCACAUCUGACCUUUGACCCCCAGCCCUAACCCUGGGCCCCCCUCCCCCCAUCCCUGACCCUUGACCCCCGUGACUCCCUGACCUUUGACCUCUGACUCCAGCUCUGACCUCCAACCCCCAUCCUUGGUCUCAGACCCCCGUCCCUGACCUCUAACUCCCCAUCCCUGACCCCUGACCCCCAUCCCUGACCCUUGACCCCCC
ensembl:lncRNA